rnacentral:rRNA from 1 species
CAGCUAGCUUACACACCAAUAUAACCAAAUAAUAUAAAUAAAAUAGAAUAGGCCAAACAUCAAAACUUAAACCAUUCUUUUACCUGAGUAUGGGAGACAGAAAAGGUUCACCCAAAGCAAUAGAAAAAGUACCGCAAGGGAAAGCUGAAAGAGAAAUGAAACAAUCCAUACAAGUACCAAAAAGCAAAGACUAAACCUUGUACCUUUUGCAUCAUGAUUUAGCCAGUAGACACAAGCAAAGAGACCUUUAGUUUGAAACCCCGAAACCAGGUGAGCUACCCCGAGACAGCCUAUUAAGGGCCAACCCGUCUCUGUGGCAAAAGAGUGGGAUGAGCUCCGGGUAGAAGUGACAGACCUACCGAACCUGGUGAUAGCUGGUUGCCUAAGAAAUGGAUAGAAGUUCAGCCUCGUACACCUCAAAUCAAACAAACACUAAUAAGAUGUCUAGAGAAAAACACGAGAGUUAGUUGAAGGGGGUACAGCCCCUUUAACCAAGGAUACAACCUUAUUAAGAAGGAUAAAGAUCAUAAUAUAUAAAAUAUACUGUUCUAGUGGGCCUAAAGGCAGCCACCUAAAUAGAAAGCGUUAAAGCUCAGACAGAAAAAAGUUUAUUAUUCUGAUAAAAAAUCUUAUUCCCCUAAAUACUAUUAGGCUAAUCCAUGCCCCCAUGGAAGAAAUUAUGCUAAAAUGAGUAACAAGAGGGCCCGCCCCUCUCCAAGCACAAGUGUAAGCCAAACCGGACUAACCAUUGGCAACUAACGAACUCAACCCAAGAGAGCAAUGUGAACUAUAAAAAAACCAAGAAAACCCCACAACUCAACAAUCGUUAAUCCCACACUGGAGUGCUAUUAAAGGAAAGACUAAAAGAAAAGGAAGGAACUCGGCAAACACAAGCCUCGCCUGUUUACCAAAAACAUCGCCUCCUGCAACACAACCAUGUAUAGGAGGUCCAGCCUGCCCAGUGACUACAAGUUCAACGGCCGCGGUAUUUUGACCGUGCAAAGGUAGCGCAAUCACUUGUCUUUUAAAUAGAGACCUGUAUGAAUGGCUAAACGAGGGCUUAACUGUCUCCCCUUUCAAGUCAGUGAAAUUGAUCUGCCCGUGCAGAAGCG